GUUUUCCUGGUAGCCCUGGUCCCCUGCAUUCUUGGUGCUGGAGCAGCUGGUUUACAAGCUUGCUUUGCUCUCUGUGUUUUCUGGGCUGGCCUUGCUGUAGCCCUACACAUGUGUUCAGUCUCCAGCUCAGCGGCUCCGCACAGCACAGCAGGGGCCGAGUUGCACAUUCCAGGAAAGCAGAGCGUUGAUGUCACGAGGCCUCGAACCCCAGCUGCACGCCAGGCUGCAGAGACAUCUCCGGCAAGAUCAGGGAUGAUCAGGGUCCUGCUGUGGCACGUUGCUAAUGUCUCCAAGAGGGAAGGAAAGCACGAUCACAACCAAGCUGGUGGAUAUUCGGUAACAUCAGACUCCAGGUGACCCAUGG
rnacentral:lncRNA from 1 species